UACGGAGGGUGCGAGCGUUGUCCGGAAUCACUGGGCGUAAAGCGCACGUAGGCGGUUAUUCAAGUCAGAGGUGAAAGCCCGGGGCUCAACCCCGGAACUGCCUUUGAAACUAGAUGACUAGAAUCUUGGAGAGGUCAGUGGAAUUCCGAGUGUAGAGGUGAAAUUCGUAGAUAUUCGGAAGAACACCAGUGGCGAAGGCGACUGACUGGACAAGUAUUGACGCUGAGGUGCGAAAGCGUGGGGAGCAAACAGG
rnacentral:rRNA from 1 species